GAACGCUAGCUACAGGCUAACACAUGCAAGUCGAGGGCGAUCGGGGAGUUAGCUGCUAACUUGCCGGCGACCGGCGCACGGGUGAGUAACGCGUAUCCAACCUGGCCCACAGUAGGGGAACAGCCCGGCGAAAGUCGGAUUAAUGCCCUAUGUUCUCCUGUGCUGACAUCAAAUCAGGAGCAAAGAUUUAUCGCUAUGGGAUGGGGAUGCGUCCGAUUAGCUUGCCGGCGGGGUAACGGCCCACCGGGGCGACGAUCGGUAGGGGUUCUGAGAGGAAGGUCCCCCCACACUGGUACUGAGACACGGACCAGACUCCUACGGGAGGCAGCAGUGAGGAAUAUUGGUCAAUGGGCGCGAGCCUGAACCAGCCAAGUAGCGUGCAGGAUGACGGCCCUACGGGUUGUAAACUGCUUUUAUGCGGGGAUAAUUUGGGGGACGUGUCCCCUAUUGCAGGUACCGCAUGAAUAAGGACCGGCUAAUUCCGUGCCAGCAGCGGC
rnacentral:rRNA from 1 species